rnacentral:rRNA from 1 species
CCUACGGGUGGCAGCAGUGAGGAAUAUUGGUCAAUGGACGAGAGUCUGAACCAGCCAAGUAGCGUGAAGGAUGACUGCCCUAUGGGUUGUAACCUUCUUUUGUCAAGGGACAAAAUCAGGCUCGAGAGCCUGACCGAGGGUACUUGACGAAAAAGCAUCGGCUAACUCCGUGCCAGCAGCCGCGGUAAUACGGAGGAUGCGAGCGUUAUCGGGAUUUAGUGGGUUUAAAGGGUGAGAAGGCGGGCUGUUAAGUCAGCGGUAAAAGCCCGGGGCUCAACCCCGGCGCGCCGUUGAGAAUGGCUGUCUUGAGAUGUCGAGAGGUAUGCGGAAUGCGCAGUGUAGCGGUGAAAUGCUUAGAUAUUGCGCAGAACUCCGAUUGCGAAGGCAGCAUACCGGCUGCGAUCUGACGCUGAGGCACGAAAGCGUGGGUAUCGAACAGGAUUAGAUACCCUUGUAGUC